CCCCGACCUCGGCUAAAGGAAGACUUCGUCCGGACUCUUACUGGGGUCGGACUUCAGGCUCCUCUCAAGUGGAUAACUAACCACCAGACACUCCAGUCGAACUUUGGCCGAUGGGUCUGCACUCCCUGACGCGACACAGCAAUAGCCACGAUCCUGCUCCACUUCCUGCGAUGGAUUCCGCACGGCUCCAUUAUUCCCUGGCAGACCGCUAUGAUGGCCACGAUCCUGCUCCACUUCCUGCAACGGAUUCCGCAUGGCUCCACUAUUCCCUGGC
rnacentral:lncRNA from 1 species